AUUGAACGCUGGCGGCAGGCCUAACACAUGCAAGUCGAGCGGAUGAGGGGGGCUUGCUCCCUGAUUUAGCGGCGGACGGGUGAGUAAUGCCUAGGAAUCUGCCUGGUAGUGGGGGAUAACGUUCCGAAAGGGACGCUAAUACCGCAUACGUCCUACGGGAGAAAGCAGGGGACCUUCGGGCCUUGCGCUAUCAGAUGAGCCUAGGUCGGAUUAGCUAGUUGGUGAGGUAAUGGCUCACCAAGGCGACGAUCCGUAACUGGUCUGAGAGGAUGAUCAGUCACACUGGAACUGAGACACGGUCCAGACUCCUACGGGAGGCAGCAGUGGGGAAUAUUGGACAAUGGGCGAAAGCCUGAUCCAGCCAUGCCGCGUGUGUGAAGAAGGUCUUCGGAUUGUAAAGCACUUUAAGUUGGGAGGAAGGGCAUUAACCUAAUACGUUAGUGUUUUGACGUUACCAACAGAAUAAGCACCGGCUAACUUCGUGCCAGCAGCCGCGGUAAUACGAAGGGUGCAAGCGUUAAUCGGAAUUACUGGGCGUAAAGCGCGCGUAGGUGGUUCGUUAAGUUGGAUGUGAAAGCCCCGGGCUCAACCUGGGAACUGCAUCCAAAACUGGCGAGCUAGAGUACGGUAGAGGGUGGUGGAAUUUCCUGUGUAGCGGUGAAAUGCGUAGAUAUAGGAAGGAACACCAGUGGCGAAGGCGACCACCUGGACUGAUACUGACACUGAGGUGCGAAAGCGUGGGAGCAAACAGGAUUAGAUACCCUGGUAGUCCACGCCGUAAACGAUGUCAACUAGCCGUUGGAAUCCUUGAGAUUUUAGUGGCGCAGCUAACGCAUUAAGUUGACCGCCUGGGGAGUACGGCCGCAAGGUUAAAACUCAAAUGAAUUGACGGGGGCCCGCACAAGCGGUGGAGCAUGUGGUUUAAUUCGAAGCAACGCGAAGAACCUUACCUGGCCUUGACAUGCUGAGAACUUUCCAGAGAUGGAUUGGUGCCUUCGGGAACUCAGACACAGGUGCUGCAUGGCUGUCGUCAGCUCGUGUCGUGAGAUAUUGGGUUAAGUCCCGUAACGAGCGCAACCCUUGUCCUUAGUUACCAGCACCUCGGGUGGGCACUCUAAGGAGACUGCCGGUGACAAACCGGAGGAAGGUGGGGAUGACGUCAAGUCAUCAUGGCCCUUACGGCCAGGGCUACACACGUGCUACAAUGGUCGGUACAAAGGGUUGCCAAGCCGCGAGGUGGAGCUAAUCCCAUAAAACCGAUCGUAGUCCGGAUCGCAGUCUGCAACUCGACUGCGUGAAGUCGGAAUCGCUAGUAAUCGUGAAUCAGAAUGUCACGGUGAAUACGUUCCCGGGCCUUGUACACACCGCCCGUCACACCAUGGGAGUGGGUUGCUCCAGAAGUAGCUAGUCUAACCUUCGGGGGGACGGUUACCACGGAGUGAUUCAUGACUGGGGUGA
rnacentral:rRNA from 1 species